GGCCAGUUAGCUCAGUGGUUUGAGCGCAGUGCUGACAACAAUGACAGCACCAGGGUCGUGGGUUCGAUUCCCGCACGGUCCC
rnacentral:tRNA from 1 species